CGGGGUGAGUAACGCGUGGGUAACCUGCCUUGUACAGGGGGAUAACAGUUGGAAACGGCUGCUAAUACCGCAUAAGCGCACGGCAUCGCAUGAUGCAGUGUGAAAAACUCCGGUGGUAUAAGAUGGACCCGCGUUGGAUUAGCUAGUUGGUGAGGUAACGACCCACCAAGGCGACGAUCCAUAGCCGACCUGAGAGGGUGACCGGCCACAUUGGGACUGAGACACGGCCCAA
rnacentral:rRNA from 1 species